rnacentral:rRNA from 1 species
GUCGAGCGGAGAUGAAGGUGCUUGCACCUUAUCUUAGCGGCGGACGGGUGAGUAAUGCUUAGGAAUCUGCCUAUUAGUGGGGGACAACAUUCCGAAAGGGAUGCUAAUACCGCAUACGUCCUACGGGAGAAAGCAGGGGAUCUUCGGACCUUGCGCUAAUAGAUGAGCCUAAGUCGGAUUAGCUAGUUGGUGGGGUAAAGGCCUACCAAGGCGACGAUCUGUAGCGGGUCUGAGAGGAUGAUCCGCCACACUGGGACUGAGACACGGCCCAGACUCCUACGGGAGGCAGCAGUGGGGAAUAUUGGACAAUGGGGGGAACCCUGAUCCAGCCAUGCCGCGUGUGUGAAGAAGGCCUUAUGGUUGUAAAGCACUUUAAGCGAGGAGGAGGCUACUGAGACUAAUACUCUUGGAUAGUGGACGUUACUCGCAGAAUAAGCACCGGCUAACUCUGUGCCAGCAGCCGCGGUAAUACAGAGGGUGCGAGCGUUAAUCGGAUUUACUGGACGUAAAGCGCGCGUAGGCGGCUUUUUAAGUCGGAUGUGAAAUCCCCGAGCUUAACUUGGGAAUUGCAUUCGAUACUGGGAAGCUAGAGUAUGGGAGAGGAUGGUAGAAUUCCAGGUGUAGCGGUGAAAUGCGUAGAGAUCUGGAGGAAUACCGAUGGCGAAGGCAGCCAUCUGGCCUAAUACUGACGCUGAGGUACGAAAGCAUGGGGAGCAAACAGGAUUAGAUACCCUGGUAGUCCAUGCCGUAAACGAUGUCUACUAGCCGUUGGGGCCUUUGAGCUUUAGUGGCGCAGCUAACGCGAUAAGUAGACCGCCUGGGGGAGUACGGUCGCAAGACUAAAACUCAAAUGAAUUGACGGGGGGCCCGCACAA